rnacentral:rRNA from 1 species
AGUGAACGCUGGCGGUAGGCCUAACACAUGCAAGUCGAACGGCAGCACAGUAAGAGCUUGCUCUUACGGGUGGCGAGUGGCGGACGGGUGAGGAAUACAUCGGAAUCUACUUUUUCGUGGGGGAUAACGUAGGGAAACUUACGCUAAUACCGCAUACGACCUACGGGUGAAAGCAGGGGAACUUCGGAACUUGUGCGAUUGAAUGAGCCGAUGUCGGUUUAGCUAGUUGGCGGGGUAAAGGCCCACCAAGGCGACGAUCCGUAGCUGGUCUGAGAGGAUGAUCAGCCACACUGGAACUGAGACGCGGUCCAGACUCCUACGGGAGGCAGCAGUGGGGAAUAUUGGACAAAGGGCGCAAGCCUGAUCCAGCCAUACCGCGUGGGUGAAGAAGGCCUUCGGGUUGUAAAGCCCUUUUGUUGGGAAAGAAAAGCAGCAGGUUAAUACCCCGCUGUUCUGACGGUACCCAAAGAAUAAGCACCGGCUAACUUCGUG